AUAUUUUUCUUCAUUGUGUACGGUGCUCGCGAGUAGCCGAAGUAAACAACGUCAUUCGAUGAAAAUUAUAGCCCACGAGUGAUACAGAAAGUGUGCUGGAAAUGACAUUUCUUCUGUACCGUUGGCAGAUUUGAAAUAUUUCAAGGCCGUGCCCAGAAGGAGGGGUCCGGAUCCUCCCCCCGUCCGAGGCUUACCGGGUUGGCUCUUAUGGCAAUUCACGCAGAAGUAAUCAUCCCAACUGAUAAUAAUAAUAAUACUAGCCUUUAUUACCCAACAGUUAAAAACAGGGUUAACUAAGUAUGUUAUAAAAGUAAUAGAAAGA